CAGAGGGUGCAAACGUUGCUCGGAAUUACUGGGCGUAAAGCGCGUGUAGGCGGGCCGGAAAGUCGGGCGUGAAAUCCCUGGGCUCAACCCAGGAACUGCGCUCGAAACUUCCGGUCUAGAGUGGUGGAGAGGGAAGUGGAAUUCCUGGUGUAGAGGUGAAAUUCGUAGAUAUCAGGAGGAACACCAGUGGCGAAGGCGGCUUCCUGGACACUAACUGACGCUGAGACGCGAAAGCGUGGGGAGCAAACAGGAUUAGAUACCCUGGUAGUCCACGCCGUAAACGAUGGGCACUAGGUGUCGCGGGUAUUGACCCCUGCGGUGCCGUAGCUAACGCGUUAAGUGCCCCGCCUGGGGAGUACGGCCGCAAGGCUA
rnacentral:rRNA from 1 species